UGGUGGAGUGAUUUGUCUGCUUAAUUGCGAUAACGAACGAGACCUUAACCUGCUAAAUAGUCACGCGAACGUUCCUGUUCGUGGCCGACUUCUUAGAGGGACUUUUGUGUGCUUAACCAAAGGAAGUUCGAGGCAAUAACA
rnacentral:rRNA from 1 species